rnacentral:misc_RNA from 1 species
CAUUCCAAAACCAGAAUCCAUUCUUGUGCCCAGAUGGGGCUUGGACAAGUUCUACAAGGGUAGCUAUUCUAAUUGGCCUGAUAACUACAGUAAAAAACGCAAAGACCAUUUAGCGUAUCCUGUUGGUCCGGUAUACUUUACAGGGGAGCACACCAACGAUAGAUAUUUAGGAUAUGCUACCGGUGCUUAUUUUGCAGGUUCUCUUAUCUCUCUUUCUCAGUUUAUUGAAGAGACGGGUUGAUGUACUAAUAUAUGCAUUGUGCUAAUGUAUUUGCAGGUAUCGAUACUGCAAAUGAUUUAAUCGAGUACAUAAAGAAUAAAUCUUGUAAAGGCUUUAACAGAAACAGAUGGCAUUAAGUCCUGGCUUGCAUCUGAAGGUGAAUCUCUAUUCGAUUUAUGCAAAAAAAUGAGCACAAAAUACAAAGAAUAGAGAUAAGCAACAGCAUAGAGUUGUCUUCCUUCCCAUGACAAGUCUUUAAUCAAAGCUGUCAUUGAAGUUGUCCUUUGCACAAUGUCCUGUCUAUUGUUGUGCUUAAUUUGAUACAUAUAUAAUAUCAAUGUGCAUGGGAAAUUUCACCCCCCAAUCCGUAUAGGAGAUAUGAUUGAUGAGUGGCUCAUAGUCUUUAGAGUGAAUUUGUUUCUUUCUCUGUCCGUUACUACGUUAAACUUGUGGCUUUAUAUUAAUAGAAAUUUCUUUCUUCU